AUUCUGCUCUGGCUUUGCCACCUUUGGACAUAGAGAAGUUUUGGUUAAAAUAUUUUGAACUACAACAUAGUGAUAGAUUCUUCAUAAAAAUGGGAGUUCUAAUAGGAAAUACUAGGUAAAAAAUUAGAGUUUGAUGGAGGCCUGCAUAUGUAACCAAGUUUAUUCAAAUAAACGACAGCUCUGUCUGGUCUCCUUACUUUGCUUUAUUCUUUAGUGGGUUGAGGUGUAGUAAGUGUGUGUCCACUCUGUUGUUGACCAGUACCUGGGAGCUGAUAUGGAAGAGUUUCACGGCAGGACUUUGCACGACGACGACAGCUGUCAGGUGAUUCCAGUUCUUCCUGAGGUGAUGAUGAUCUUGAUUCCUGGGCAGACGUUACCACUGCAGCUUUCUCACCCGCAAGAAGUCAGUAUGGUUCGGAAUUUAAUCCAGAAGGACAGAACCUUUGCAGUUCUUGCAUACAGUAAUGUGCAAGAAAGGGAAGCACAGUUUGGAACUACAGCAGAGAUCUAUGCGUAUCGAGAGGAGCAGGAGUUUGGAAUUGAAGUAGUGAAAGUGAAAGCAAUCGGACGGCAGAGGUUCAAGGUCCUUGAACUUCGAACACAGUCAGAUGG
rnacentral:lncRNA from 1 species